rnacentral:rRNA from 1 species
GUGGGGAAUCUUGCGCAAUGGGCGAAAGCCUGACGCAGCCAUGCCGCGUGAAUGAUGAAGGUCUUAGGAUUGUAAAAUUCUUUCACCGGGGACGAUAAUGACGGUACCCGGAGAAGAAGCUCCGGCUAACUUCGUGCCAGCAGCCGCGGUAAUACGAAGGGGGCUAGCGUUGCUCGGAAUUACUGGGCGUAAAGGGCGCGUAGGCGGACAGCUUAGUCAGAGGUGAAAGCCCAGGGCUCAACCUUGGAAUUGCCUUUGAUACUGGCUGUCUUGAGUACGGGAGAGGUGAGUGGAACUCCGAGUGUAGAGGUGAAAUUCGUAGAUAUUCGGAAGAACACCAGUGGCGAAGGCGACUCACUGGCCCGUUACUGACGCUGAGGCGCGAAAGCGUGGGGAGCAAACAGGAUUAGAAACCCGAGUAGUCC